rnacentral:rRNA from 1 species
UGGGGAAUUUUCCGCAAUGGGCGAAAGCCUGACGGAGCAAUGCCGCGUGAAGGUAGAAGGCCUACGGGUCAUGAACUUCUUUUCCCGGAGAAGAAGCAAUGACGGUAUCCGGGGAAUAAGCACCGGCUAACUCCGUGCCAGCAGCCGCGGUAAUACGGGGGGUGCAAGCGUUGUCCGGAAUCAUUGGGCGUAAAGCGUUCGUAGGCGGUAUAUCAAGUCUGGUGUUAAAGCCCGGGGCUCAACUCCGGUUCAGCAUCGGAUACUGGUAAACUAGAAUGCGGUAGAGGUAAGGGGAAUUCCUGGUGUAGCGGUGAAAUGCGUAGAUAUCAGGAGGAACAUCGGUGGCGAAAGCGCCUUACUGGGCCGUUAUUGACGCUGAGGAACGAAAGCCGGGGGAGCAAAUG